UCAAGGAGGAAGGGGUGGGGAGAAGUGAUCUUACUCUAAGACAUUAUGAGCAACUACAGAAGGGGAAGGUAGGAUUUCCACUUGGUUUGUAUUGGUAAAGCCAAUACAGUUUGGACUACGAUGUGUGUUUAGCCAAAUUUGUGCAGUUUUAAAUUUCAAAUGUGAUGAAUUUUACUGGUAAUAGUCUUCAAAGGUGAACCUAACUGAAGUUAGGUCAUGAGCUUAGUUUGUAUGUUGAAUGCUGUCACUAGGUAAUCAUUACACAAUCAGUAUCCAGCAAAAUCCAUUGCUUUCAGUGCCCAUUAUGACAUAUUCCAGUUACACGGUUAACUUUUGGACAGCUGUGCAGUCAGACCAU